rnacentral:rRNA from 1 species
UACGUAGGGUGCAAGCGUUGUCCGGAAUUAUUGGGCGUAAAGAGCUCGUAGGCGGUUUGUCGCGUCGGCUGUGAAAACCCGGGGGCUCAACCCCGGGCCUGCAGUCGAUACGGGCAAACUAGAGUGCGGUAGGGGAGACUGGAAUUCCUGGUGUAGCGGUGAAAUGCGCAGAUAUCAGGAGGAACACCGGUGGCGAAGGCGGGUCUCUGGGCCGUAACUGACGCUGAGGAGCGAAAGCGUGGGGAGCGAACAGG